CCUGUCUCGUGUGUGCUAGAUGGGAGCUGUCAAAUUCUGCAAACGUCAGAAGAAACGGCAGCUGGUUUAGCUUUAAUGGUCACGUCUUCUGCAUGAUAAGUGAAACCUGAAACCCCAACAGUGAAACGUGAAUCUGAAAUGGUAAUAGGGGCUCACUGCCAUUAGCAUGUCUAAUGGAGCUUCCAAUCAAGAAGUCACCUUGAUGUUUAAUAAGUCAUAG